UACUUUAGCUACUUCUCCCCCUUUUUAGCCAAAAUAGACCAAAGAGACAAAAUAAAUGUCUAUUAGUCAAACAAAAUGUCAAAGCAGAUUGUUAAGUGUUACAGAUCCCAGAACACAUACAACUAUACAAGCUGAGAUAAAAAUCCAGAAAAACCAAAAAGAACAAAAAAAAAUACAUCAAGGUAGCAGAACAUGACUACCAAAAGAAACACCAGAACAUCCAUCAC
rnacentral:lncRNA from 1 species